rnacentral:rRNA from 1 species
GAUGAACGCUCGCGGGAGGCCUAACACAUGCAAGCCGAGCGGUAUUUGUUCUUCGGAACAGAGAGAGCGGCGCACGGGUGCGGAACACGUGUGCAACCUGCCUUUAUCUGGGGGAUAGCCUUUCGAAAGGAAGAUUAAUACCCCAUAAUAUAUUGAGUGGCAUCAUUUGAUAUUGGAAACUCCGGUGGAUAGAGAUGGGCACGCGCAAGAUUAGAUAGUUGGUGAGGUAACGGCUCACCAAGUCAAUGAUCUUUAGGGGGCCUGAGAGGGUGAUCCCCCACACUGGUACUGAGACACGGACCAGACUCCUACGGGAGGCAGCAGUGAGGAAUAUUGGACAAUGGGUUAGCGCCUGAUCCAGCCAUCCCGCGUGAAGGACGACGGCCCUAUGGGUGGUAAACUUCUUUUGUAUAGGGAUAAACCUACUCUCGUGAGAGUAGCUGAAGGUACUAUACGAAUAAGCACCGGCUAACUCCGUG